rnacentral:lncRNA from 1 species
ACAGGUGUGAACCACCGGGCCCGGCCAAAUGUUUUAAAAAGUAAAUAAAACCAUUAUGCUUUGAGUUAAGUGCUGUAAGGAACAUCAAGAUGGCACCCUGAGAGAAAAUAACAGGGAGGCCUCUUUCAGUUAGGAGAUUCAGAGGUCUCUCUGGGGAGGUGACAUUUAAUCUGAGACCUGAGGGAGCCAGCCGCAGAAGAGCAGAGGAGAGCACAUUCCUGGAAGCCAAGACAGCACAGGCAAGGGCCCCAGGCAGCAAAGAACUUGGCACAUGCCAGGCACUGAGCAAAGGCCAGGGUGGCUGCAGAAUGCGGGGAGAGGGCUGGGAAGAAGUUGAGAUGGGAGUAGAGACAAGGUCAGGGGCUGAUUCAUGCAAGACCAUGCAUGGGUUUGGAUGCUGCCUGUCUGGCAUGCAGGGCAAACUUCUGAGACUCCACCACCUCUGUGGCUUGACCCAACGGAACUGCUAGUGACAACUCGGUGCUUCCCACCCCAGGCUGUUCAUGUAAGCCCAGCCUGGCCGUCACCCAGCCAUGAUGUUAGGCUGAGGGUCAGUGUAGACCCUGAGGGGGCUUGAUCAGACUAAAGGGCCACUGUCGGAAGGAGAGUUCUUGCUCUCUCCAUCCUGCUAGAUGCAGACAAGGAAGCCCGUGUCCUUGACUGCAACCAUUAAGAGAAUCAAGCUCUGGGGAGAUGCUGAGGAUGGCAGAGCCCAGAGGCAGAAGGAACUCACGUCCUUGAAGCUCUGCUGAUAAGCACCCCUUCCUUGCAGUGCCAAUUAUCACGCCACUAAAUGCCCUUGUUGUUUGCCGCAGGGGCUCAGCUUACCUCCGGCUUCAGCUGUAGCCAUGAGAGACCUUAGCUGGCAGCGUCCUAUCUCAUUACUCACUUUCUGCCUCAGAGAUAUCUCUGAAGCCAAAGAAGCCCACCCAGCCCAAAAGCCAGGUGGCAAGAAAGUUAAUCCCCCUGGGGUCUCCCUCAGCUGUUGCGGGAAUCAAAUGCCUUAGGCUCCUGUCCUUAGAGGGUCACUUCUGGGAGGCAUUCUGGACACUUCCGAGGCCGGGGAAUCCUCCCUCGUCACCUGCAGCAGCAGUCUCAGUGACACGCCUGUGUGUUGGUUCUUCCCUGCCUCCCUUACUCCAGCUUCCUGAAGCCACCUCUCAAACCAGCCACCUGCGUGCAAGUCCCUGCCUUACCUCUGCUUCCAGCCAGUUUGGGGCCAGCUUCUCUUACCUGCAGGACACCGGCUUCUUGUCUCCUUGUGCCUUGACUAUGGGGGUGUGUGCUGGUCACUCCAAAGGGACCACAUCUCGUCUGUCUCUGUUCCCAGUGAGCACAGGACAUACGCCCAACACUAACAGAAUCCGGAGCGUCGUGGAUAUUCAAAUGAUGAAGACACUAAGUAUGACGCUUUACAAACAUCUGUGCUGCUCCUAUGCCUUGUAACCCAGGUAGGCCCUAAUGCUGAUGUGGGAACCUCGACCGUGGACUUUGCAUGGAAUCCUGGGGCUUGAAGAUGGAGCAGAGAAAGCCAGGGAGGGCCCACCCUGGCCACCACCCCUGAACCUUGGAUACAUACUCCGAAAGUCCAGCUGCAGGGACAGGACAUCCUUGAAGAGGAUGCCCUCCUGCUUGGCCAGCUGCCCGGCCUCCUCCUGGGGGCCCUGGUCCCCGACGGCCAGCUUGAGCAUGUCAUCGUCCAUCACCCUCGGCUCCAUCGAGUUGCACGGCUGGUUCAUCUUCCCCCACGUUUUCCCUAAAAAACACCGCAUUCUUCCUUCA